CCUACGGGAGGCAGCAGUGGGGAAUAUUGCACAAUGGGCGAAAGCCUGAUGCGGCGACGCCGCGUGAGGGAUGACGGCCUUCGGGUUGUAAACCUCUUUCAGUAGGGAAGAAGCGAAAGUGACGGUACCUGCAGAAGAAGCGCCGGCUAACUACGUGCCAGCAGCCGCGGUAAUACGUAGGGCGCAAGCGUUAUCCGGAAUUAUUGGGCGUAAAGAGCUCGUAGGCGGUUUGUCGCGUCUGCCGUGAAAGUCCGGGGCUCAACUCCGGAUCUGCGGUGGGUACGGGCAGACUAGAGUGAUGUAGGGGAGACUGGAAUUCCUGGUGUAGCGGUGAAAUGCGCAGAUAUCAGGAGGAACACCGAUGGCGAAGGCAGGUCUCUGGGCAUUAACUGACGCUGAGGAGCGAAAGCAUGGGGAGCGAACAGGAUUAGAUACCCUGGUAGUCCAUGCCGUAAACGUUGGGCACUAGGUGUGGGGGACGAUUCCACGUUUUCCGCGCCGUAGCUAACGCAUUAAGUGCCCGCCUGGGAGUACGGCCGCGAAGGCUAAACNCAAAGGAAUUGACGG
rnacentral:rRNA from 1 species